rnacentral:tRNA from 1 species
UAGCUUAGUAGGUAUAGCGUCUGCCUUGUAAGCGCUAGGUCGCGGGUUCGAUUCUCGC